GACGAACGCUGGCGGCGUGCUUAACACAUGCAAGUCGAACGGAAAGGCCCUGCUUUUGUGGGGUGCUCGACUGGCGAACGGGUGAGUAACACGUGAGUAACCUGCCCUUGACUUUGGGAUAACUUCAGGAAACUGGGGCUAAUACCGGAUAGGAGCUCCUGCUGCAUGGUGGGGGUUGGAAAGUUUCGGCGGUUGGGGAUGGACUCGCGGCUUAUCAGCUUGUUGGUGGGGUAGUGGCUUACCAAGGCUUUGACGGGUAGCCGGCCUGAGAGGGUGACCGGCCACAUUGGGACUGAGAUACGGCCCAGACUCCUACGGGAGGCAGCAGUGGGGAAUAUUGCACAAUGGGCGGAAGCCUGAUGCAGCAACGCCGCGUGCGGGAUGACGGCCUUCGGGUUGUAAACCGCUUUCGCCUGUGACGAAGCGUGAGUGACGGUAAUGGGUAAAGAAGCACCGGCUAACUACGUG
rnacentral:rRNA from 1 species